CACAGGAAGUCACGGGAUGGUGGCCUGGCCCUGUGUACUCAGGACUCUGUGUCCACCCACGCUGGUGGCCUCUCACCGCCUGAGCCUGUGCUUUCCUGCCCACAUGCUUUUCCGGACCACAGGUGCCUGUUUAAACAGGGGCCUAGGUGAGGCUUCAAGUGGCACAGAGUUAACAUGCCAGAAGCAGCCUGAGGCCAGUGAGGACGGAUGGGGUGGCCCCACGCCUAGGGCGGGACAGCUCUGACAGCUCCUAUGCUGCAGUCUCCUGAUGGUGCUAAGGGGACGGAGCCCCAGUCCCCCGCAGUGGUGACUAGUUUUUCAGUGAACCAGUAGUGGCCUCUUUGCCACCCUUGCUCAAUCUACCCUCUUCCCUGGCUGCUUUCUGGCCAGGCUUGCCUCUCAGAUCAUCUGCCUUCAUGGAUUGCAAGUCUCAGGACCUGCCUGCUGGGGAUGUCAGGCUGAGACAAGGACCUUCUUGCUAUGAACCACCAAGUGCCACCAAGACACAGAACUGUUCUGUCACCACACAGAUUUCCUGCUGUUGACAUUAUCAGUUUGGCCCUGGAAACUUACUUUCUGGACUUUUAUUCCCCCGAACACCAGAGCGAUGCUUCCUAGAUCACACAGCCUGUAGCAGUCUUCUCUCUCCUCUUCCUGGCACUUGUUGAUUGAAGACCUGAGCUGAACUAUCAGUUCAUCUGAGAAGCCUCCCCAACAUCUGGGCUUAGCUAUGUUUACUCUUGUCCCCUGGAUUUGAUGACAGAGACUCGGUCUUUUGAAUGAAAAAUUCCAUUUGCUCUUGUUCACCAUUUUAUGUUCAUUCUAUGCACAUGCAAGAUCAUGCUGUGGAAGGAUAUCAAGUCUGCCCUUGAACUCACUAUGUAGACCAGGCUGGCUUUGAACUCAACAUGAUCCUCCUGUCUUAGCCUCCCAAGUACUGGGACUGCAGCUGACCUGCUGAGCCCAGCUGCCCUCCUUACAGCCGCACAGUUCAAGUCUGGAAUCUGCUGAGCUUUGCGUCCUGGCUCUGUCAGAAGACGCUGAUGUCACUCAGGUGCAAGGCCAUCAGGGGCACCUGGCAUUCUCCACUCACUUCCGGUUGACAUUCUGUCACACAGAAAGGACCCGCUGGUCACCGAUGAGAUGUGUUGGGACAGGAGGCGCAUUGAGGGAAGAAUGGUGGAACCCCACACUGCCACUGCGACACACAGGUCACAGCUGUCAUGAGACCUAGCCUUCUGGUCCCAGAGAACACGUGCAGGUCUGCUUUGCGGCACAGAAUCGCUGUGGGAUUGAGUCAGUGCCACCUCUGCUGGGGUCAUCGUGGGCUCCCAUGGCCUCAGGGAGGCAGGCACACACAUCUCAUGCAGUGAAAGGUCACCAUCCCCUCUCCGACUACCAGAGAUGGAGAGGCCCAGAGGUCACGGUGCGCAGCCGCAGUGGAUUCCUCUUGAGUUAUCGGAGGCCCAGAGACAGAGCACAACUGGCCCAAGGUCCCAUGGCUCAGAAAGGCAGAGCAGUAACUUGGAUUCACUCCUGGAUUCUCCUCUCUCCCUGUACGCAAACCAAAGGCAAACAGAGUCCAACUUCCACGUGUAACCUACAGUCUUCUCCGGAGCUUUGCUCCUGGCCUCUUUCCACCCACAUCCGGAGAGGUCCCUUUCUGUUCAUCUGAAAGGAAACCUCUGGGCCUUGAUUGCCUCUGGGCCUUGGCCCUGGGGUCCCAUGUACAGCUCCGCUGACAUUCAUAGCCACCUUAGGAAGUUGUUGUGACUCUUGGUAUGUAACUCACAAAUAUUAGUAGACACAAUUGACUUACUUACAAGGUAAGUAUCCUUGGAGUUUCAGAGCCAAUCUUACUCCUGAGUACUAGAUCUCAACCACCAUGCUGCACGGCCUGUUAACAUCUUACCCCUUCUGUUCCAAGCAUCCAGGGCUUCUCAGCAAACUUCCACAGACCCUGCAAUUUGAGUGAUUCUUUUUUCUUUGGUGAUAAAGGGGUCUUAGGGUCUGUUCACAAUUUCUGGUCUGUUCUGCUCUAGGGGCACACUCAUGACCCACAUUUAGAGAAUAAAACUUAUAAGUCUCUCAACUCACACCUGUAAAAAAUUUUGAGUGGGGCCCAGAGCAAGAGAAAACACCUCCACAGAUAUGGGCUGGUGGGUGCAUUGCUUUGUAUCUUGGACCUUAUGGGCCACCAUCACCAGCGGGCCUUGGAGUGUCUGUGGCUCCUGACUACCCCGUGAAACCUUUGUGAGCCCUUACCAGGUAGGGUAGUCACUCGACAUGGAUAACUACCAUUCUUGGAGUAACAACCGUGGCUUGUAACUGGGAACAAGUAGAGGCCUCCAGAUCACUGUGGCCCAUCAGGGACUGUGUAUCUUCGACACAUUAAAGCACCAUGUUGGGUGUGCAUGCCUCGCUGCAUCACCAAAUGAAAUGUGAUGUACAUGUAGGUCCUGAGGUGUAAAUAAGUUGCAUAAGCAAGAGGCCAAGGAGCCAAGACCCACUUUCCGGCCCAGGGCUGGCUUCGUGUGUGUGUGACCUGUGUGACCUCAUAGGCUCUGUGCUCCACUGGGCACUGUGUUUUCUUUAAUGCUUUGGUGUGAAUGUUUUGAAAUUCUUAAACAUUUUUAAUAAGGGUUCCUUCGUUUUUAUUUUGGUCUGUGUGUCUGUAAGGGUGGUUCUGGAGGAGCUUAGCAUAUGAUUCAGUUGAUUGAAUAAAAAAUGUUUACCCUCACCAGUGUGGACAGGCAUCACCUGUCCACUAAGAAUCUGGAUGGAGCAAAGAGGUGCAGGGAGGGAGAAUUCUCUCUCUCUUUUGAACGGGGACCCCCAUUUCCCCCGACCCCAUGACUACAGAGCUUCUGGUUCCCGGACCUUCGGGCUCUAAGAUUUAUGGCAUCAGUUUCUCUGGGUCAAGGGUGAGUUACAUCAUCAAUUCCUCUGGGCCUCCAGCUUGGGAACAGCAAACCGCGGGCUUCUCAGCCUGCGUGACUACAGGAGGCGACUUUCAUAGCUAGCUGCUUCCAUGUCUGUGCAUCCCACGGUUCCUGUUUCUCCGGAGAACCCCGAUGAAUUAAAGCACCCCUUCUCUUGUCUCUGUCUCCUUUUCUUUUCCUUACUUCCAUCCCCUUUCCCUCACUGGCUCCCUUUCCCAGUUGAGCAUGCUCUGCAUACUUCAUAAUAUCAAGUAUAUAUGGUUAAAGGUUGGGUCCUCCACAUCAGGUAAGGAGCUUGCCAGCUGAAAAUAUUUCCUAUAAUCAGUGGAAAUAUUGACUGGGUAGAAGACCUAAAGGUGGCCACUAUAAAUACCAGUAACUUCUAAUACAGCUAGUGGCAGAAAUGAAGAAUAAUUAUGAGUAUCCCUUUUUUAUUUUUUUAUGACUUUAUUAAUCUAUUUCUUCCCUUUUCUUUCCCCCAUUUCUGAGUGCUUGAUGACUGAUUGAGACAGGGUCUCACUAUGCAGUCCAGGCUGCUGGCCUCGAACUCACUCUGUAGCCCAGGCCUGGCCUCGAACUCACAGUGAUCCUGCCCUGGCCUCAAAGUGCUGGGGUUACAGGUGUGUACCCCGCCUUCAGCUCUCUUCUAUUUCUCUAAUACCUAAAAUAAGAGGUGUUAACAAUGGGUAACUCCUGUCACAGUGGUUAAGGUAUCAGAUAGGUGUGAAUCGGCUGAAAGAGGAGUGAGCAUUACCCAAAGAUGAACAGAAACAGCAACAACAACAAAAACAAAGGAAAAGAAGGAAGGAAAAAAGGAAGGGAGUCCAGAAAACUCUGUAUCCUGUUUCACAGAGAAAGGAGAGGAUUAGAGUGUUUUUGGUGAUAUGAGAUGGUUGUAUUAUGAUUUUGCUGUUGUUUGGUUGGGAGGUUAAGUAUCAUUUGAAGAAAUCCGUACAGACACCAGGUUUUCAAGGGGUGGACUGUGGUGGCCUUUUUUUUUUUUUUUUUUUGGAUGUAUUUCAAUUUAGUUCACCUGGAACUACAUUGCCCAGAGUUUUCCAUGCAGUUUCAGCUUACAGACUGGCUGUAUCCCUAUGCAGUCUGGAAAGGAGGAGGGAGGUCACUGUCGUCUUACACUCUGCAGGCUGUGGUAGCACAGGUGCUGUUCCAGCUCAGCACACUGUGACCGAUCCGCUGGGGGUGGGGUGGGGGGAGACCAGGCACACAGCUGUGUUGGCUGCCACCUGACCCCUCCUUCCUGCUCCGACUCCUGGGGCACCUUCAGACGGAGCUGUGUGGAAAGCUGUCAGCCAGCUCGUCUGCAGGUCUCUUGUGUAACACAGCAUAGAGGUGAUGGAUAUGAUGGCCAUGGAUUCAGUUUGCCCUUCCUGUGUCCAGCUGAGCUGGUUCUUUCUUAUUUCACAUCUGUAUCUCAUACCUACCUUCCGGCUCUGCACACGUUGGGCCCAACACGAGAGGCAGAGGUGACAGCCUUAAUAGAUUGCAUUCUGUUUCCUGUAGUGAAUUUCUAUUUCAUGUUACUCACAGUGGUUCAUCUUUCUUCACUGAACCCUGGUUGAGACACUCGGGCUGAUGGAUCCUCUCUCAAAGUCCUCGUCUGUCCAUCACCCCACUUCACGCUCACAGCAAUCCUGUGAGGUAGACAGUACUGUCCUCAUUUUGAAUGGAAGGGACUUGAAGUCAGAGAAGUAAAGUGACUUUGCUAAAAUCAUGUCGCUAGCGAACAGCACAUCCAAGACUCCAAGCCAGAACCAGCAGAUCCGCGCUUCUGUGUUCCCCAAACACUCAGAAUCUAAUUAUAUGGCUGAAUGUGUGUCUUGUUGCUGUUUUUGAGCCUUGUGUAAUUAGAGCUUAAGAAAUUACAUUUCAGCGGCUGUGAACUCGAAAUUAACCUUGCUUCUGUCUCGUGCUAUUCUCUCGCACCUCGGGUGUGUUGGGGAGGGGACAGUGGUCUUCUCCCGCUAUUAGGUAAAUCAGCAGGCCCGGUGAUUUUUUUGGUUCAUUGGUAAUUAAUGGAAAGUUCUCAAAACACGCUGGGGAGCAAAGCGUUGUUCUGAUUUAAAAUAGCUGAUUUAUAGUUAGAGUAGGCAUCUCUUCUCUGACCCCUGCCCACACCUCCUCGCUGACUGAAAUCCACUGCCCUUUAACUCCCUGCCCUGGUGGAAAGGAUGGGGGUCUUUCUUUCUGGCCUGACUCCCCAACUCUCCUUCUCCCAAAUAAUGGAAUUGGGAGGAAAAAAAAAGCAAGAAGUUCAUUUUUUUUUAAAGAAACAGUUUUACAUUCCUCAGUCAACAUACCAUCAAAUUCACUCUCUUCACGUGUGUAACUCGGCGGUCUUUAGUGGAACUAUAGCGUAGUAUAGAGCACUCUACUUUUAACGUGGUGACAACAUUCCCAUGACCCUAAAACCCUCAAACCCGUUUGCAGCUAAGCCUCCCCCCCAGUCCAGAGCAUCCGCUGUUCCGCUUUCUGGCUUUCUAUAUUUGCCUUUCCUAGGUAUUUCCUAUCAGUGGAAAUAUCAGAUAUUUCCAUGUGUUCGGAUUCUCUCAGCGUAACCUUUUGGAAGUUCAUCUAAACCAUGUCAUGUACCCGAAAUCUCUUUACUGCAGACUCCCGUUCUAGCACAUGGAUUUGCCAGGCCUUACUGAUCUGCACACCAGAUGAUGCGCGUCUGGACUGAUUCCCGUUCAAGGCACCGUGAGCAAUGAUCAUGAAACUUCACUCACCUGUCUUUGUGUGGACAUCUUUUUGUUUCUCUUAGAUCUGUUCCUAGAAGAGGACUUACUAAGUUGAAUACAAAGCUCUGACUUAAACUUUUAAGGAAUGUCUGUCCGCCCUGUGCCCCAGAGGAGCCACGCAGCCGUACCUUCUUCUCAGUCACGUGUGACGGUCCCACCCUCUCCACACCCUUACGGGCGCUUCCCAUCGUCUGUCUCUGGGGGUGGGGGGUCUUUUCUUAUGGUUUUCCCUUGCGUUUCCCUUCGAGUCUUUUCAUAGGCUUAUUAGCUACGGUGCUUCCUCUUUAGUGACGUAUCCAUUUGUAUCCUUUUGUCCAUUUUUAAAUUGGGUUGUUGGUCUUCUUAUUUAGUUGUAAGAGUUCUUUGAUUUUUCUGGACACUAUUCACUAUCAGGUAUAUGAUUUGCAAUUAUUUUCUCCAUGGCUUGUCUAUUUUUUUUUACUGUUUUAAAAAUUUUGAGCUGACAUAUAAAACCAUGCAUAGCUGUGGGUACCGUGUGAUGUUUUGACACAUGUAUGUACUGCAGAAUGUUCCGGAAUAAGACUGUCUUCUCUACGAUCAUUUCCUUGUGGUCAAAGCAUUGAAAAUCCUUUCUGUCUUAUGAAAUAUACAGUAUGUUAUCAUUGUGUACUGUUAACCUUCUAUUCACUACAACCCUAGAAUUUAUUUCUUUUAUCCAGCUAUAACCCAGUCCCACUGAUAACCUUUCUCCUAUCCUGUGUCUUCUCCCAGCUCUGGGUGACCACUGUUCCUCGCUCAACUGCUAAGAGAUCAACUUUAAAUAAGGCCAUAUCGUACUUGUGUUUCUUUGUCUGGCUUAGUUCACUCAAUGGAAUGCCCUCCUUUUCCACCAAGGCCAUCACAAACGAUAGGGCUUCAUUUUCAUGACUGUAGUGUAUUCCAUAUUACAUGUGUACUACCAUAGUAGCUUUUGAAAUGUCAAAAAUUUUAAAUUUUCAUGAGGUCAAAUUUAUCAUUUUCAAUGGAUUAUGAGUUUGAUGUUGUAUCUGAGAAGUCUUUGCUGAACCCAGCAUCACAAGGAUUUCCCUCCUACUUGUAUUCUAGGAAAUUUUAAGUUUUAGUCUAACAUCUAUUUUAAUUCAUUUUUAAAUGUGGACUUUUGACUUUCCAGCACUACUUGUUUAAAAAAAAGCCUAUCAUUUCUCACAUUGAAUUGUCAAAAAUAAACUGUACAGAAACGCAGAGUAUUAUUUAUAAAUUUUUAAUUCUGUUUCAUGGGCCUACCAGAAAGGUGCUUUUGCUGCUGAAAAUAUGGCAUGGGUAUAUCAGGUCUUGUUUAUCCACUCAAAGAUCAUAUGUAGAUUCUAGGUGCCAAUAUUCUCACUAAAAUCAUACUGUCUUGAUCACUGUAGGUUUAUAGUACAUGUUGAAAU